rnacentral:misc_RNA from 1 species
GUUUUACCAAUCAGAUAAUAGUGAAAUGUGACAUCUGUAAAAGCUGAAUGAUGCUAAUAUCAAACAGUUCUCUCUCUACACAGAUACUGGUGAAGCCAAGCAAAAGUGUAAGUGUUAAUUACUUGAAGGAACCAUUUGAAGAAUCUGUUCUGCUUGAUCAGGGAAGAAAGUUACAAAUAGAAGUGCACAGAUAAGCACAGUUCCAAGAACUGCUGAAAUCUUGCCCUGUAUGGUAACCAGACCAGCUUUACCAGCAUCUUGUAGUUCCUUUGAACCGACGGAAUCAAAUGUUCCAGGUUUUACGGUCUGAAGACCUGAUGUUAUGCACGCUAUGUUGUCAUAACCUGCUCUCUCUAAUCUCUCCGCAGCAGCUGCGGACCUUAGACCCUCUUGACAGACGAGUAAGAGCUUGCUUUGAGGAGAAAAUUGAGAUUUAACAGAUUGCACAAACUCAGGAUUGGGUUUAGUAAAUGGCAAUCCAAAAAAUAAACCAGCAAAAUUAUUGUGGAGCUGUCUCUUUACAAUGGUCCCUAUGUCAUUAUCUGUGUUUUCGAUAAAGAGUGGUACAUGAUAACACUUUUUGAUACGUGCUCUCCCUGUGAGUUUGUCACUCCAUCAAUUGUGUAUGUGAUUUUGUUGGUCACCCUGUUUUUGCACUCAACUUUAACCUUAGAUCCAGCAAGAUACUUAGUAGCAGGGGUCUCAAAUCCACAUCGGCAAGUAUCACAAUAACAUUUACCCUUGACAAGGAAAGGGUUGGAAGUGGUAGUAGCCAAAGAAACAGAGAGCCUAGGAAGACAGAAAUCACCUGCAUAUAACAUUUUCUUUUGGCGCUUAUAACUCCAAUGCUGUUGACCACGUACCUUGAACGCUCGGUUGUUUUGUAACAUGCCGUGUCUUCAGCUUCACCACCUUCCUGCCAAGUGAAUUCCUUAGCUUGGUCGCUGCUUCAAGUACUUCAUCUUGACUCAAGUUUUUCACACAUACAACACGCUCAUUCUUGUUCUUGUAUAAUCCCUUCAAGAAAGGAUGUUGACCACGAUUGAGUUCAGUGACCACCUCAAGAUGUGGAUUUUUCUCCUUGAGUGCUGGCAAUUCAGACUCCAUGAAUGCCCUUAUUCCCCUGCUACUGCCACCCCAAUUGCAAUAGCUGACUACCAGUUUCCUUAGCUGCCAAACACCUCUUAGUGCCAUAAUUUUAUUCCGUCGGAGAAUAUAAUUUGCAGCGGAUAGAGAUUGAGAGUGAGAAGUAGAACGUCCGCCGCCGGUGACUUGGGCAAAGUGAACCCUUUACAGAAUUGGGGCUUGGAGUA